GAAGAAAGAAGAGGAGAAGCCUCAAGAGGAGGUGAUCGUAACCGAGUUUGAAAAGGUUACUAUCGAAGAGACAAAGGCAGAGGAAGAAGGUGAGGAGAAGAAGAAGCAUGGUCUCCUGGAGAAGCUUCACCGAUCAGAUAGCAGCAGCUCCAGCUCUGUAAGUACACUAAUUCACCUGUCGUUAAAUUAAUGGGACUUGGUUGUACUAUAAUUAUCCUAACAUGAAAUCUGUUGCCUGAACGUGCAGUCAAGCGACGAGGAAGAAGGUGAAGGAGAAGAGAAGAAGAAGAAGAAAAAGAAGGAGAAGAAGGGACUGAAAGAAAAGAUUGAAGAGAAGUUAGAAGGAGAAAAGAAAGAAGAGGACACCUCAGUUCCAGUAGAGAAGUGCGAUGAGCCAGUAGUCCAGCCAGAGACGCCAGAGAAGAAAGGUUUCCUCGAGAAGAUCAAGGAGAAACUCCCUGGACAACACAAGAAAGCUGAAGAGGCCAGUAGCCCAGCUCCAGCCCCA
rnacentral:lncRNA from 1 species